rnacentral:tRNA from 1 species
UCCCUGGUGGCUCAGAUGGUAAAGCAUCUGCCUGCCAUGCAGGAGACCCGGGUUCGAUCCCUGGGUUGGGAA